CUGCUCCUCAAUUUCAUGCCCUGCUCUCUCCAGUUCUGGUCCGUGCUUAUAGAGUGCAUAACAGUAUGAUUAAUGAACUUUGGAGGAAUUUAAUGAUAGGGAGAUUAUGGAUGUCACAUGUUUCUUUCCCGAGAUGGUAUCAAAAUAUCAUGAAACAGCGAAGCAAGAUCAACCACUUUUUCUGAUAUGGAAAAAGAUCAAAUUUCAAAUUCAUUUUGCCAGCACGAUCAGAGUUAGUGGAAGGACUUGCAUGUCAAUCUCUUCAAAAGCAAUGUCGAUGACUGGUAGUGAAGACUGGAGACACAGUGAAAAUGGUUUACAACGGAUGAAUCAAGG